rnacentral:rRNA from 1 species
AUUGAACGCUGGCGGCAGGCCUAACACAUGCAAGUCGAGCGAGCGGCGGACGGGUGAGUAAUGUCUGGGAAACUGCCUGAUGUAGGGGGAUAACUACUGGAAACGGUAGCUAAUACCGCAUACCAUCAGAUGUGCCCAGAUGGGAUUAGCUAGUAGUUGGGGUAAUGGCUCACCUAGGCGACGAUCCCUAGCUGGUCUGAGAGGAUGACCAGCCACACGGGAACUGAGACACGGUCCAGCCUCCUACGGGAGGCAGCAGUGGGGAAUAUUGCGCAAUGGGCGCAAGCCUGACGCAGCAAUGCCGCGUGUAUGAAGAAGGCCUUCGGGUUGUAAAGUACUUUCAGCGAGGAGGCGUUACCCACAGAAGAAGCACCGGCUAACUCCGUGCCAGCAGCCGCGGUAAUAC